GAGCGCCCCGCAAGGGGAGCGGCAGACGGGAGAGUAACACGUGGGAACGUACCCUUCAGUUCGGAACAACCCAGGGAAACUUGGGCUAAUACCGGAUACGUCCGUAAGGAGAAAGAUUUAUCGCUGAAGGAUCGGCCCGCGUCUGAUUAGCUAGUUGGUGAGGUAACGGCUCACCAAGGCUACGAUCAGUAGCUGGUCUGAGAGGAUGAUCAGCCUCACUGGGACUGAGACACGGCCCAGACUCCUACGGGAGGCAGCAGUGGGGAAUAUUGGACAAUGGGCGCAAGCCUGAUCCAGCCAUGCCGCGUGGAUGAUGAAGGCCUUAGGGUUGUAAAAUCCUUUCGGCGGGGAAGAUAAUGACGGUACCCGCAGAAGAAGCCCCGGCUAACUUCGUGCCAGCAGCCGCGGUAAUACGAAGGGGGCUAGCGUUGCUCGGAAUCACUGGGCGUAAAGCGCACGUAGGCGGCUUUUUAAGUCAGGGGUGAAAUCCUGGAGCUCGACUCCAGAACUGCCUUUGAUACUGAGAGGCUUGAGUCCGGGAGAGGUGAGUGGAACUGCGAGUGUAGAGGUGAAAUUCGUAGAUAUUCGCAAGAACACCAGUGGCGAAGGCGGCUCACUGGCCCGGUACUGACGCUGAGGUGCGAAAGCGUGGGGA
rnacentral:rRNA from 1 species